rnacentral:rRNA from 1 species
GACGAACGCUGGCGGCGUGCCUAAUACAUGCAAGUGGGACGCAAGGGAACACACUGUGCUUGCACACCGUGUUUUCUUGAGUCGCGAACGGGUGAGUAACGCGUAGGUAACCUGCCUAUUAGCGGGGGAUAACUAUUGGAAACGAUAGCUAAUACCGCAUAAUAUUAAUUAUUGCAUGAUAAUUGAUUGAAAGAUGCAAGCGCAUCACUAGUAGAUGGACCUGCGUUGUAUUAGCUAGUUGGUAAGGUAAGAGCUUACCAAGGCGACGAUACAUAGCCGACCUGAGAGGGUGAUCGGCCACACUGGGACUGAGACACGGCCCAGACUCCUACGGGAGGCAGCAGUAGGGAAUCUUCGGCAAUGGACGAAAGUCUGACCGAGCAACGCCGCGUGAGUGAAGAAGGUUUUCGGAUCGUAAAGCUCUGUUGUAAGUCAAGAACGUGUGUGAGAGU